AUAUUGUCUAUCAAGUAUCAACACAAAUUAUUGUAUAGAAGUCUAAAUGUCAGAAAAUUAUCACCAGACUGUUUUAAACAGUAAAAAAACACUUAGCUAAUCCCAAUUAGAAGCAAUGAAACUCCUCUUAAUCACCGGGAGAUCAUAAUAUUUGGCGUAUGGCCUUAUAUCAUAUUGCCUUCUCACAACUAGAAAAAGUCAGAUCAUUCAAUUGAUAAAACCAGUACUCCAAAAAAGAUUUUGACCCAAAAAAACUGUUAUUAGAAAAAUUUGCACUCCUAGAAAUCCCAAAGCCUCUAAUACUAGUCGUUAGGUUAUAACCCUAGAAAUAUGAAAUUGGUAAACAAGAAAAACACAACCACAGAGCAGAAAAAUAAAAGGAACAUUAAGAAUGUUCACCCAGUUCAACAAACGACUAAUUUGAGAGGUUCAGAGACUAGUCCAAACACUAAGAACAACAGAAACCCUCCAAAGAGAAGUACAGAUCAUGAAAAACUCAAUCAGACCCAGAUUUAAUCAUUGAUCUGCAAGCAAAUCUCUUAAAUCGUAAACCCUAACGAAAAAAUAUAACCAAGAACCUCUUGCUCUUCCAUUGACUUAAAAAUAGCCACUACUACAGGCCUGAUUUACUGUAGCAACAUAAAGCACACAGGAUUCCAUGGUUAUUUUGGCUAGAACCUCAUAAGAAAUCACAUAUCGAAACCAAGAAUAUGAUUGAGAACUAGAUAGAGAAAAAUAAACUCAAACGAAAUGCCAGGAAUUAAAGUUAGCCUCAAACUAUUCUAAAC
rnacentral:lncRNA from 1 species